GACGAACGCUGGCGGCGUGCCUAAUACAUGCAAGUAGAACGCUGAAGGAGGAGCUUGCUUCUCUGGAUGAUUUGCGAACGGGUGAGUAACGCGUAGGUAACCUGCCUUGUAGCGGGGGAUAACUAUUGGAAACGAUAGCUAAUACCGCCUAAGAGUAGAUGUUGCAUGACAUUUGCUUAAAAGGUGCAAUUGCAUCACUAUCAGAUGGACCUGCGUUGUAUUAGCUAGUUGGUGAGGUAACGGCUCACCAAGGCGACGAUACAUAGCCGACCUGAGAGGGUGAUCGGCCACACUGGGACUGAGACACGGCCCAGACUCCUACGGGAGGCAGCAGUAGGGAAUCUUCGGCAAUGGACGGAAGUCUGGCCGAGCAACGCCGCGUGAGUGAAGAAGGUUGUCGGAUCGUAAAGCUCUGUUGUAAGAGAAGAACGGGUGUGAGAGUGGAAAGUUCACACUGUGACGGUAUCUUACCAGAAAGGGACGGCUAACUACGUG
rnacentral:rRNA from 1 species